GUAGGUGGCGAGCGUUGUCCGGAAUUAUUGGGGCGUAAAGCGCGCGCAGGCGGUUCUUUAAGUCUGAUGUGAAAGCCCACGGGCUCAACCGUGGAGGGUCAUUGGAAACUGGAGAACUUGAGUACAGAAGAGGAAAGCGGAAUUCCACGUGUAGCGGUGAAAUGCGUAGAGAUGUGGAGGAACACCAGUGGCGAAGGCGGCUUUCUGGUCUGUAACUGACGCUGAGGCGCGAAAGCGUGGGGAGCAAACAGGAUUAGAUACCCUGGUAGUCCACGCCGUAAACAAUGAGUGCUAAGUGUUAGGGGGUUUCCGCCCCUUAGUGCUGCAGCUAACGCAUUAAGCACUCCGCCUGGGGGGUACGGCCGCAAAGGCUG
rnacentral:rRNA from 1 species